GAGUUUGAUCGUGGCUCAGAUUGAACGCUGGCGGCAUGCCUUACACAUGCAAGUCGAACGGCAGCAUGAUCUAGCUUGCUAGAUUGAUGGCGAGUGGCGAACGGGUGAGUAAUACAUCGGAACGUGCCCUGUAGUGGGGGAUAACUAGUCGAAAGAUUAGCUAAUACCGCAUACGACCUGAGGGUGAAAGUGGGGGACCGCAAGGCCUCAUGCUAUAGGAGCGGCCGAUGUCUGAUUAGCUAGUUGGUGGGGUAAAGGCCCACCAAGGCGACGAUCAGUAGCUGGUCUGAGAGGACGAUCAGCCACACUGGGACUGAGACACGGCCCAGACUCCUACGGGAGGCAGCAGUGGGGAAUUUUGGACAAUGGGCGAAAGCCUGAUCCAGCAAUGCCGCGUGUGUGAAGAAGGCCUUCGGUUGUAAGUACGACUUUGUUCCGGUAA
rnacentral:rRNA from 1 species